UGAGGAAUAUUGGUCAAUGGGCGAGAGCCUGAACCAGCCAAGUCGCGUGAAGGAUGACUGCCCUACGGGUUGUAAACUUCUUUUGUGUGGGAGUAAAAAGGUGGACGUGUCCACUAUUGCAAGUACCAUACGAAUAAGCAUCGGCUAACUCCGUGCCAGCAGCCGCGGUAAUACGGAGGAUGCGAGCGUUAUCCGGAUUUAUUGGGUUUAAAGGGUGCGUAGGCGGGAUAAUAAGUCAGCGGUGAAAGUUUGAGGCUCAACCUUAAAAUUGCCGUUGAAACUGUUAUUCUUGAGUAUAUUUGAAGUAGGCGGAAUUCGUGGUGUAGCGGUGAAAUGCAUAGAUAUCACGAAGAACUCCAAUUGCGCAGGCAGCUUACUAAACUAUAACUGACGCUGAAGC
rnacentral:rRNA from 1 species